rnacentral:lncRNA from 1 species
GGUUUCACCAUGUUGGCCAGGCUGGUCUUGAACUCCUGACUUAAGGUGAUCCGCCCGCCUCGGUCUCCUAAAAUGCCACAUUACAGGCGUGAGCCAUUGCGCCCAUCCUCACUUAAGUGGCAAAUAGGCUUACACCUUUAGGUUGUUCUGGUUUUCUUUUCUUUCUUUCGUUUCCUUCCUUUCUAGCUUCCUUCUUUUUUUUCUUCUUUUCUUUUUUUGAGGCAGGGUAUCACUCUGUGACUCAAGCUGGAGUGCAGUGGCACAAUCAUGGCUCACUGCAGCCUCGACCUCAUGGGCUCAAGUGAUCCUCCUACCUCAGCCCCCUGAGUAGCUGGGACUACAGGUGUGUGACACCAUGCACAGCUGGCUAAUUUUUAAAUU